GGGGUAGUUUUUUGUAUGGGAGUUUAUUGUUUAAUACUUUAAUAAUUGGUGGAACAGUAGGUUUAAUUAAUGGUUUUGGUUUAAACGUAUUAGAGUUUUAUAUUAUGCUUUUUUUUAGACUAGGAUUAGAUACCCUUUUAUAGAAAGGUUUGAUAUUUGUUUUUCUCAGUGUAAACUGAAAGAAGUUGGCAGUUAAUGAUAUUCUGCUGGGGGAUUGUGCGGUUUAAACAGAUGGUCCACUUAUAGAUCUUUUUUUUUGUUGGUGUAUAUCCGGUUUUUAAACAAAACUCAUAUGAGUUUUGUUUAAAAUGUUGUUUUUAUCCAGGUCGAUAUGCUGCUAGUAAAAAAGUAUUGGUGCAAUACAAUUUAAAAAGCGAUGUUUAAACUUAUAUCGUUAUUUAGGACUCAGCAGUAAUAAAAAAUGAUUGUGUUUUUGUGAAGUUGAUUUAGUUGAUGUACACAUUGCCCGUCAUCUUCGAUUU
rnacentral:rRNA from 1 species